rnacentral:lncRNA from 1 species
CCCGGAGCCUCGAGCUCCCGGCGGCCGGCGCUGCAGAUCUGGGGGGGCAGCUAGUUGUCCCCCGAGAGCCCACCCCCGGCUCUCCCGCGGCCCAGGUGCCGCCGCGCCCCGCCCCUCGCCCCGCCCAGCGCUCGGGGAGUCCCGCUUCCGGGCGCCUCUGGUGGCCAAGGGGGCGCUGCGGCACUGAAUGUGAGCACGAGGGAAGGGGCUGGCUAACCUCCCCCAAGGAGACUGGCGGAGCCCCUCAUCACGCCCAGAGGAUCCCUCCGUGCCCAGGAUCGGCCGGUCGCCCCCCCUCACCCCAAAGUAAGCAAGGGUGCACUUUCCAGAGAGAACAACUUUGGCAAUAGGACCAAAGGGGUGCAGGACGCUAGAGACUCAGCCAGGAUGCAGGCACUCUGUGACACCAUCCAGACAAACGCAGGAGCCAGAUGACCUGGAAGGAUAAAGCUAGGAGUGUAUCCAUGCCUCGUCCAUCCACCUUCCAUAGAGUACACCGGACUAGGAUUGCCCCGAGCAAGUCAGCCACGGAAUUCACAGUUGACACAACAGAAGAGGAGCCAGGUGGCAUCUGGCUGCAGCUACCUGUCCCGGAAGUGCCUGGUGGUGGUCAAGUUCCAGCAUUUUCAAUUAAUCUUGGAAUGGUCGCUGGAGGCAAGAAGCCAGCGGCGCCUAAAGGAAUGAGAAAGUGCAAACUGAUCCAGAGGAAACAAAGGGCAGCGAGGGACCCCACAGCUGAGGCAGACGACACUGUGAGCUCUGUCGGGAGGCUGGCGAGGCGUGCGCGCGGGUCUCUGCCUUAGCACCAUCUGCCUAUUCCUCAAGAGGACACAGAACAGACCAGCGAGCCAUGAAGAUUCGAUUAUGUAACGCGGGAGGAUUGCUUGUUUUCAAAAGGGAGACAAAUGGGAACGAAUUGAUUUGUUUGUCAAAGUCAUGGCCCCGAAAGGAGACCAGUCCCCUCCUCUUCCUGGAGGAUUCAUCAAGGAGGGGAGUGAUUUCACAGGCUCAGAAAAAAGGAGCCCAGGACUCACAGAGUCAGCUCAGAUGGUAACAGCAGCUCCUGGGCCGCAACGCGGUGAGCCACAUGGUAGAAGAAAAGAACCAACUUCAGCUAACAGUCCUCUGACCUCCAUAAGGGCACAUACCCACCCGCCGCGAAAUAAAUCCAUGCAAAACCAUAAUUCA